rnacentral:rRNA from 1 species
GGUUAAGCGACUAAGCGUACACGGUGGAUGCCCUGGCAGUCAGAGGCGAUGAAGGACGUGCUAAUCUGCGAUAAGCGUCGGUAAGGUGAUAUGAACCGUUAUAACCGGCGAUUUCCGAAUGGGGAAACCCAGUGUGAUUCGUCACACUAUCAUUAACUGAAUCCAUAGGUUAAUGAGGCGAACCGGGGGAACUGAAACAUCUAAGUACCCCGAGGAAAAGAAAUCAACCGAGAUUCCCCCAGUAGCGGCGAGCGAACGGGGAGCAGCCCAGAGCCUGAAUCAGUGUGUGUGUUAGUGGAAGCGUCUGGAAAGGCGCGCGAUACAGGGUGACAGCCCCGUACACAAAAAUGCACAUGCUGUGAGCUCGAUGAGUAGGGCGGGACACGUGGUAUCCUGUCUGAAUAUGGGGGGACCAUCCUCCAAGGCUAAAUACUCCUGACUGACCGAUAGUGAACCAGUACCGUGAGGGAAAGGCGAAAAGAACCCCGGCGAGGGGAGUGAAAAAGAACCUGAAACCGUGUACGUACAAGCAGUGGGAGCACGCUUAGGCGUGUGACUGCGUACCUUUUGUAUAAUGGGUCAGCGACUUAUAUUCUGUAGCAAGGUUAACCGAAUAGGGGAGCCGAAGGGAAACCGAGUCUUAACUGGGCGUUAAGUUGCAGGGUAUAGACCCGAAACCCGGUGAUCUAGCCAUGGGCAGGUUGAAGGUUGGGUAACACUAACUGGAGGACCGAACCGACUAAUGUUGAAAAAUUAGCGGAUGACUUGUGGCUGGGGGUGAAAGGCCAAUCAAACCGGGAGAUAGCUGGUUCUCCCCGAAAGCUAUUUAGGUAGCGCCUCGUGAAUUCAUCUCCGGGGGUAGAGCACUGUUUCGGCAAGGGGGUCAUCCCGACUUACCAACCCGAUGCAAACUGCGAAUACCGGAGAAUGUUAUCACGGGAGACACACGGCGGGUGCUAACGUCCGUCGUGAAGAGGGAAACAACCCAGACCGCCAGCUAAGGUCCCAAAGUCAUGGUUAAGUGGGAAACGAUGUGGGAAGGCCCAGACAGCCAGGAUGUUGGCUUAGAAGCAGCCAUCAUUUAAAGAAAGCGUAAUAGCUCACUGGUCGAGUCGGCCUGCGCGGAAGAUGUAACGGGGCUAAACCAUGCACCGAAGCUGCGGCAGCGACGCUUAUGCGUUGUUGGGUAGGGGAGCGUUCUGUAAGCCUGUGAAGGUGUGCUGUGAGGCAUGCUGGAGGUAUCAGAAGUGCGAAUGCUGACAUAAGUAACGAUAAAGCGGGUGAAAAGCCCGCUCGCCGGAAGACCAAGGGUUCCUGUCCAACGUUAAUCGGGGCAGGGUGAGUCGACCCCUAAGGCGAGGCCGAAAGGCGUAGUCGAUGGGAAACAGGUUAAUAUUCCUGUACUUGGUGUUACUGCGAAGGGGGGACGGAGAAGGCUAUGUUGGCCGGGCGACGGUUGUCCCGGUUUAAGCGUGUAGGCUGGUUUUCCAGGCAAAUCCGGAAAAUCAAGGCUGAGGCGUGAUGACGAGGCACUACGGUGCUGAAGCAACAAAUGCCCUGCUUCCAGGAAAAGCCUCUAAGCAUCAGGUAACAUCAAAUCGUACCCCAAACCGACACAGGUGGUCAGGUAGAGAAUACCAAGGCGCUUGAGAGAACUCGGGUGAAGGAACUAGGCAAAAUGGUGCCGUAACUUCGGGAGAAGGCACGCUGAUAUGUAGGUGAAGUCCCUCGCGGAUGGAGCUGAAAUCAGUCGAAGAUACCAGCUGGCUGCAACUGUUUAUUAAAAACACAGCACUGUGCAAACACGAAAGUGGACGUAUACGGUGUGACGCCUGCCCGGUGCCGGAAGGUUAAUUGAUGGGGUUAGCGCAAGCGAAGCUCUUGAUCGAAGCCCCGGUAAACGGCGGCCGUAACUAUAACGGUCCUAAGGUAGCGAAAUUCCUUGUCGGGUAAGUUCCGACCUGCACGAAUGGCGUAAUGAUGGCCAGGCUGUCUCCACCCGAGACUCAGUGAAAUUGAACUCGCUGUGAAGAUGCAGUGUACCCGCGGCAAGACGGAAAGACCCCGUGAACCUUUACUAUAGCUUGACACUGAACAUUGAGCCUUGAUGUGUAGGAUAGGUGGGAGGCUUUGAAGUGUGGACGCCAGUCUGCAUGGAGCCGACCUUGAAAUACCACCCUUUAAUGUUUGAUGUUCUAACGU